AGGGGAGUGAAAAAGAACCUGAAACCGUGUACGUACAAGCAGUGGGAGCACAGGUUUACCUGUGUGACUGCGUACCUUUUGUAUAAUGGGUCAGCGACUUAUAUUCUGUAGCAAGGUUAACCGUAUAGGGGAGCCGUAGGGAAACCGAGUCUUAACCGGGCGUUAAGUUGCAGGGUAUAGACCCGAAACCCGGUGAUCUAGCCAUGGGCAGGUUGAAGGUUGGGUAACACUAACUGGAGGACCGAACCGACUAAUGUUGAAAAAUUAGCGGAUGACCUGUGGCUGGGGGUGAAAGGCCAAUCAAACCGGGAGAUAGCUGGUUCUCCCCGAAAGCUAUUUAGGUAGCGCCUCGUGAAUUCAUCUCCGGGGGUAGAGCACUGUUUCGGCUAGGGGGCCAUCCCGGCUUACCAACCCGAUGCAAACUGCGAAUACCGGAGAAUGUUAUCACGGGAGACACACGGCGGGUGCUAACGUCCGUCGUGAAGAGGGAAACAACCCAGACCGCCAGCUAAGGUCCCAAAGUCAUGGUUAAGUGGGAAACGAUGUGGGAAGGCCCAGACAGCCAGGAUGUUGGCUUAGAAGCAGCCAUCAUUUAAAGAAAGCGUAAUAGCUCACUGGUCGAGUCGGCCUGCGCGGAAGAUGUAACGGGGCUAAACCAUGCACCGAAGCUGCGGCAGCGACGCUGAUGCGUUGUUGGGUAGGGGAGCGUUCUGUAAGCCUGCGAAGGUGGCCUGUGAGGGUUGCUGGAGGUAUCAGAAGUGCGAAUGCUGACAUAAGUAACGAUAAAGCGGGUGAAAAGCCCGCUCGCCGGAAGACCAAGGGUUCCUGUCCAACGUUAAUCGGGGCAGGGUGAGUCGACCCCUAAGGCGAGGCCGAAAGGCGUAGUCGAUGGGAAACGGGUUAAUAUUCCCGUACUUGGUGUUACUGCGAAGGGGGGACGGAGAAGGCUAUGUUGGCCGGGCGACGGUUGUCCCGGUUUAAGCGUGUAGGUGUGUGUUCCAGGUAAAUCCGGUUCACUUUAACACUGAGGCGUGAUGACGAGGCACUACGGUGCUGAAGCAACAAAUGCCCUGCUUCCAGGAAAAGCCUCUAAGCAUCAGGUAACAUCAAAUCGUACCCCAAACCGACACAGGUGGUCAGGUAGAGAAUACCAAGGCGCUUGAGAGAACUCGGGUGAAGGAACUAGGCAAAAUGGUGCCGUAACUUCGGGAGAAGGCACGCUGACACGUAGGUGAAGUGAUUUACUCACGGAGCUGAAGUCAGUCGAAGAUACCAGCUGGCUGCAACUGUUUAUUAAAAACACAGCACUGUGCAAACACGAAAGUGGACGUAUACGGUGUGACGCCUGCCCGGUGCCGGAAGGUUAAUUGAUGGGGUCAGCGCAAGCGAAGCUCCUGAUCGAAGCCCCGGUAAACGGCGGCCGUAACUAUAACGGUCCUAAGGUAGCGAAAUUCCUUGUCGGGUAAGUUCCGACCUGCACGAAUGGCGUAAUGAUGGCCAGGCUGUCUCCACCCGAGACUCAGUGAAAUUGAACUCGCUGUGAAGAUGCAGUGUACCCGCGGCAAGACGGAAAGACCCCGUGAACCUUUACUAUAGCUUGACACUGAACAUUGAGCCUUGAUGUGUAGGAUAGGUGGGAGGCUUUGAAGCGUGGACGCCAGUCUGCGUGGAGCCGACCUUGAAAUACCACCCUUUAAUGUUUGAUGUUCUAACGUGGACCCGUUACCCGGGUUGCGGACAGUGUCUGGUGGGUAGUUUGACUGGGGCGGUCUCCUCCUAAAGAGUAACGGAGGAGCACGAAGGUUGGCUAAUCCUGGUCGGACAUCAGGAGGUUAGUGCAAUGGCAUAAGCCAGCUUGACUGCGAGCGUGACGGCGCGAGCAGGUGCGAAAGCAGGUCAUAGUGAUCCGGUGGUUCUGAAUGGAAGGGCCAUCGCUCAACGGAUAAAAGGUACUCCGGGGAUAACAGGCUGAUACCGCCCAAGAGUUCAUAUCGACGGCGGUGUUUGGCACCUCGAUGUCGGCUCAUCACAUCCUGGGGCUGAAGUAGGUCCCAAGGGUAUGGCUGUUCGCCAUUUAAAGUGGUACGCGAGCUGGGUUUAGAACGUCGUGAGACAGUUCGGUCCCUAUCUGCCGUGGGCGCUGGAGAACUGAGGGGGGCUGCUCCUAGUACGAGAGGACCGGAGUGGACGCAUCACUGGUGUUCGGGUUGUCAUGCCAAUGGCACUGCCCGGUAGCUAAAUGCGGAAGAGAUAAGUGCUGAAAGCAUCUAAGCACGAAACUUGCCCCGAGAUGAGUUCUCCCUGAGACUUA
rnacentral:rRNA from 1 species